rnacentral:rRNA from 1 species
UACGGGGGGGGCAAGCGUUGUUCGGAAUUACUGGGCGUAAAGGGCGCGUAGGCGGCGCGGUAAGCGUGCGGUGAAAGCCCGGGGCUCAACCCCGGGUCGGCCGUGCGGACUGCCGGGCUGGAGCACUGUAGAGGCAGGUGGAAUUCCGGGUGUAGCGGUGGAAUGCGUAGAGAUCGGGAAGAACAUCAGUGGCGAAGGCGGCCUGCUGGGCUGUUGCUGACGCUGAGGCGCGACAGCGUGGGGAGCAAACAGG